CAGUAGCCGCGGGAAUACGUAGGGUGCGAGCGUUAAUCGGAAUUACUGGGCGUAAAGCGUGCGCAGGCGGUUCGUUAAGACAGAUGUGAAAUCCCCGGGCUUAACCUGGGAACUGCAUUUGUGACUGACGGGCUAGAGUAUGGCAGAGGGGGGUAGAAUUCCACGUGUAGCAGUGAAAUGCGUAGAGAUGUGGAGGAAUACCGAUGGCGAAGGCAGCCCCCUGGGCCAAUACUGACGCUCAUGCACGAAAGCGUGGGGAGCAAACAGGAUUAGAUACCCCGGUAGUCCCUGUCUCUUAUAA
rnacentral:rRNA from 1 species